rnacentral:lncRNA from 1 species
UUUUUUUUUUUUUUUGGAUGGCUUGGUGCCUUUUAUCAUUAAAAGUGCAUAUCAUUUAAACAAACGGGAAGCGUGACAUUUCUAAGAAAACGAUUGCCGAAGGGGGAUAGCGCUAUUAAUUUUCAAGGUUAUUCCUUCAAAGAACACCCUUUUAGCACACGAUAUGAAACAGCGCAAAGCUUAGCAUGUCAACAGGUUUUGGUUCUGGGACCUCCAAAAGAAUCUCCUGCAUCUGGAGCAGCAUGACUGCACCUCCAGCUCUUUCCACGUCAGCACUGCUGAGAGCAAGGCCCGGGGCCAUGGCCAAUGGCUUAGUUAAGAAAAACUGGAUGUGUUCACUCUCCACAUACCACAGAAAGAAAGCCACAGCUUUUUGUUUGUUUUUAAAGGAUAUGCUUUCAUCACAUGUAUCCCCAACUUCUGGCUCCAUUUGGCCAUAGGUCAAGCCCAGUAUCCUUGAUGGAGGAGCAGUGAACUUGUAAACCACCUGGAAAUCCAGCCCCCAGAAGACAUCAAGGAGAUCUUUUUAAUAUACCAUGAUGCUAUAACAGAAAGCCCAUAAAUCAAAGUCCAAAAUAAACUAGUCAUAGCCCAAUUUAUUGGCAGGCUCUAUUCUGUACCUUCCAGAUGCAUUGGCCUCUGGGACUGAAGCCAACACAGAAAGACCAUUCCAUAGGAGUCAAGACCAGCUUGGCUAAGAGACAAGAAUGUAGUAUAUUGGUGUUUGGCACCAAAACGUGCCUUAAUUUUAGCCACAGUAAAUAGGAGCAUCACACUAUCGUUUAAAUAGCUCAUAAAUGGAGUAACCGAAAUGGAUCUGCGCAUUAAAAAGAAAAAACUAUCAAGUACCAAUUUUUUGCUUUCAUUGCUGCAUAUGCUGCUUAGAGAAAAUAGUCUUGCUGGGGCUUAUCUAUUAUGCAACCGAUAAAAUUUAAGAGGGGCUAGAGUGAAGGAGAAUCAAGGACUUUUCCCAAAGCCUGGAUAUGGCAUUCUGGGAAGAAUGCCUGGUGUGUUCUGCAGCACUGCUCUAUACCAAUCAGAAAAUUACUGCUAUAUUGGAGUUCCCAUUGUGGCCAUAGUGGCACAGUGUUUAACGAAUCCGACUAAGAACCAUGAGGUUGAGGGUUCGAUCCCUGGCCUUGCUCGGCGGGUUAAGGAUCCGGCAUUGCUGUGAGCUGUGGUGUAGGUUGCAGAUGCAGCUCGGAUCCUGAGUUGCUGUGGCUCUGGUGUAGGCCGGCAGCUAUGGCUCCAAUUGGACCCCUGGCCUGGGAACCUCCAUAUGCCACAGGCAUGGCCCUAGAAAAGGCAAAAAGAGAAAAAAAAAGAAAGAAAGAAAAUUACUGCUAUCAUCAUACAUGUUGCCAAGAAAUCCAGACUCCCUAUCUCUUCUCACUUCAAUUUGACCUUGUGGUUUCACAGGAAGAGACCAACAAUAAGUCCAAAUGCAGCAGAAGUGGUAUAGAAAAUAAAUGUUGCCUCCAAGACAUACACAAUUAAAGUUAGGCUAGAAUACUGACGAUCUAGAUUCAACAGGUUUGAAAAUUUAUCAGGAUCCCCCCACCCCAGAAGAAGAAAAUUCCUUUCACAUUUCCUAGGAAGAGCUUGACAAAUAAGAUGUGGUGGGUGGAUAGCCACAUCCCUUUAGAAAUGGAUAGCUUAGGGAAUUCCCAUUGUGAAGCAGCAGAAAUGCAUCCUAUUAGUAUCCAUGAGGUUUCGGGUUCCAUCCCUCCCCUUGCUCUUUGGGUUAAGGAUCUGGCAUUGACAUGAGCUGUUGUGUAGGUUGCAGACAGGGCUCAGAUCCUGCAUUGCUGUGGCUGUGGCUGUGGUGUAGGCUGGCAGCUGUAGCUCCAAUUCAAUCCCAAGCCAGGGAACUUCCAUAUUCCAUGGGUGCAGCCCUAAAAGAAAAGGGAAGGGAAGGAAGGAAAAAAGGAAGGGAUAGCUCAGAGAUUUAAAAAAAAAAAAAAAAAAAAAAAGGCACUGUCAAAAAUCAAUGCUACAACAAGUUAGAUUGCUGGUGCCAACAGCAAAAGCCACACAACAUUCACAGGGUGACAUUUUCAGUCAUGUUAGGGAACAUCAAUCCUGAUCCGGACAUUAGCCAUUUUCUACAAAUGCUCUUCAGUCCAAGAGUGUUACUUGAGAAUCAGUUACAUUGGCAAAGCCACAACUCUUUCCAAGGCUGAGCUCCAGCGCUGAAGGCUGACAUGAUGAAUGUCUCUAAAGGUAGCUGAACUCGCUCUCCAGGACCAGACUGCAGGGGCUCAGUUCCAAGCGGCAGUUUCAAAGCUUUGCAUACACAUGAUUUGAUUCCAAUACAUGAUUUGGUCUUAGAUUAAAGAUGCAGUCAGAACUGGUUGCCUAUUUUCUCAUGCUCUACAACGAGCACAUCUGUGGCCUACAUUGGCCAUCAGAAGCAAACAUCACCAAAAUAAAGAGUCCUGGGGUCUGCUACUGAUUUAAUAAUUACUCUGAGCAGCUCAUAUCAUCUCUGCUUCUAGACUUUCUCUGAGGGAUUUAGUCUCAGUAAUGCCCAAGACCCCUUUCUGUUUUCAGAAUCUUCGUUUAGGAACUGGCAAUAAAAAAGGGAGAUGUAUAUUUAAAAGACUGAUCAUUUGACCUCAGACUAUUUCAAACUUCCUUCGAAAAAAGACAUAAGAAAUUUCUGACUUCUUUUUUUAAGCAUGAAGGAAAUGCCUGUAUUUGAAUAAAGGCAACAUCAAGAAAAGCAGGGUGCUUAAGGAUAGAGACCAGCCACAAUAACAUUAUUCAAGCCCCUAGAUGCAGCUAUUCCUGAAGUAGAUGUGCUUCAGGACCUUCCAGUUACAUGAGCCAAUAAAUUUUCUUUCAUGCUUAGUGCAUUUACAGGUUGAGUUUGUAGUCAUUCAAAGCCAGGUGAUUCCUGACCAAUAGACAGAAUGUGGAAUCUGUAGGACCUCUAAAGAGUGUUCAUUAUUUUAGUUUAUCAUUUUAGGUACCGGAUUUAAUAUACUUCAACUUUAGUAACUUGAUCAUUACAGAAGAAAUGGACUCUAUGAACAACCUACUUAUACUGAAAUCUGCAUUUGCCUAGAUUAGUCUAUAGUCCAGUAGAAAGAAGUAUGUGUAAGCUCCACUGAAGGAAAAAGGUAAAUGUAAACAAGGAGUGAGAGUUAACUAAAGAGAUGAAUUAGUGAAUGCCUUUCUCUAAAAGCCCUGGGCCAGUCACACAGAGGCCCUGGCCAAGAUUGCCGGGGCCACAUCCAUGCCCCACGAUCCAGGUGGUCGCACUGAAUAGCCAAAGGCAGAUGGAGGCAGAAAGCAAAAACACCCCACAUCUCAGUGACUGCCAAAUGACAAGCCUGGGAAGCCAAAAUAUACCUGGCAAGUCCACGGAAUAAACCAGGCUAGAACCACAGCAAAAUAUAAUUCAGAGGGACUGAGUCAAGAAGUCCAGAAUACUAAUACAAAAUAGCACCGGCCACUCAAACCCUAGUUAAGGGGGUUCCUAUCUCAUGGUGUGCAGGAUCAGGUGGACACCAGGCAGAAGACCUUCGGGCUUAGGAAGGAAAGGAAAGAAAUGAAAAAGGGAAAGGGGACUAGAAGAGGAAAGAAGAUGGAACAGGAAAAACAAGAUACCGUGCUUAGGACGAGAGCCUCGGAAACAGACGUGGGUUCACAUUUGGGUUUAACUUCUUCCUGUGAGGCUUCUUUUCUUCUUCCCCCCUUGCUCCCCUCAUUUUUUCCCUUUCUUUUUGCUCUUCACAGUUUUAUUGAAUUACAGGGUACGUACCAUAAAUUCACACAUUUCAAGUGCACCAAUCAGUGACUUAGUAACUUACCCAGUGCUGCAGCUGUCACCACACAACAGUUCUAGGACACUCAUCUCUCCAAUAAGAGCCUUUAUGUUCACUUAUUCUUAAUCCCCAUCCCCACUCUCAGCUCCAGGCAACCGUGCUUUUCUGUCUCUAAACAUCUGCCCUCUCUGAACACCUGACAUAAAUGAAAUCAUACCAUACAAUGUCUCUUGUGUCUGGCCUCUCUCAUUUAGCAUCAUGUUUUUGAGACUCAUUCAUCAUCUAUGGCUUAGCAAAUGUCAGAUGUGGAGCCACCCUUUUUUUUGCUGAAGAGUAGUUCAUUGUAGGUAUGAGACUGACUUUCUUUUUUUAAAACCAUUUUCUUUUUUUCUUUUUUUUUCCUUUGUUUUUAUAGCCACACCUGUGGCAUACAGACGUUCCCAGGCAAGGGGUAAAAUCAGAGCUGCAGUUGCAGGCCUACACCACAGCCUCAGCAACUCAGGAUCCAAGCCACAUCUGUGACCUAUGGGGGAGCCUGCAGCAAUGCCAGAUCCUUAACCUACUGAGCAAGUCCAGGGAUCAAACCUGCAUCCUCACUGACACUGUCAGGUUCUUAACCCGCUGAGCCACAAUAGGAACGCUGAGACUUAUUUUCUUAAGCCUCAGUUUCCUUAUCUGUAAAAUAGGGAUAAGAAUAAUAAAACCAAUUUGAUAGAGUAUUACAGUAAUCAAUGAAAUAGUACAUAUUAAUAGGAUAGCACAGCAGCAGGUGCCCAGCACACACAUAAUUAAUUUUAAGAAGCUACAGUAGUAAUAGAAAGUAAAGCAUCACUAUUUCAACAUCUUCAAUUCUCUGACUUUUACACACAUCGCCUUCCUCCUAUUCACUAUCUAGGGAAGAAAAGGGAGGUACAUUUGCCUGCAUUUUUAUAGAAAAGGACAGGAGAACAAAAGCUAAGUGAGUACCUCCCGCCCAUGAGAACCUCGGGGUGGAAUGGAGAGGAGUGCUUUGGCACAGACAGCUCACAAAACGCAGCAUCUCCUAAAGAGCAUCACCCUGACUGUCAGCGAGCCUAUUGCUUCUAAGAAUAUCUGGGGGAGAUGGCAGAAUUGAGUCCAUAAUGCAUAGAUUCACUUUCCAAAAAAAAAAAAAAAAAAAAUGGGAUGAUAAUGAUGCAGGAGAAAGCUUUGUAAGUGGGAAUAAUAGUGUUGAGAGUGAGAAAGGGAACAAAUAACAAGUGAAUUGGAAAAUGCUACCCAAACCUGCUGUGUACUUGAUGCUGUAAGGUCUCUCCCAGGGAACUGCUGGGGCAGCCC